GCAUAAGAGCGGGCGGCCAUUUUGUGAGAGAAGCAGUCGCUGCUGUAUCUGUGUGGUGCCUGUUGCUCCGGUCCGCUGCCGUCGCUCCGGACUUGCGGUUUGGUUUUUUUUCUCUCUUCUCCCUGCAGAUCCAGUGAGACGUGACCCAGGCGCACCCAGCCGCGGCCUUCUCCCCUGCUCAGCGCCCCGCCACUGAAUCGCAUGUCCACUAUCCAGAACCUCCAAUCCUUCGACCCCUUUGCUGAUGCAACUAAGGGUGACGACUUACUCCCGGCAGGGACUGAGGAUUACAUUCAUAUAAGGAUCCAGCAACGAAACGGCAGGAAGACAUUAACUACUGUUCAGGGAAUUGCAGAUGAUUAUGACAAAAAAAAACUUGUGAAAGCCUUCAAAAAGAAAUUUGCUUGUAAUGGUACUGUGAUUGAGCAUCCUGAGUACGGUGAAGUUAUCCAGCUUCAAGGUGACCAGAGAAAGAACAUUUGCCAAUUCCUCUUAGAGCUGUUAAUACACUGACCUGAAAGGACAAAACCAGAUGCUUGCAGUACAUAAGAACAUAAGAACGGCCAUACUGGGUCUGACCAAAGGUCCAUCUAGCCCAGUAUCCUGUCUUCCGACAGUGGCCAAUGCCAGGUACCCCAGAAGGAAUGAACAUGACAGGUUGGCAUUGUCAAGGAGGAGCAGCUGAAAGUUCAUGGUUUUUAAAAUGUGUAUAAUCACAUGAAGAAUUCUGCAGUUUUUGUUCAUACUCACGCUGGCUAAACUGUGAAAUAUGAGUCUUUCCAGUAAAUGGACUUCCCACUUACCUAAGCAUUUAAAGCUUAAUUCACAUUUGCAUGAUUACAGAAAACAUGUGGUGUCUAGACUAGAAACACACAAAAAAAUUGCAGUAAGAUGGUAAUGAAGACCUUUGUGAAUUUUAACACAUUUCCAAUGGAAAUGUUUUAGUGCUGAUUGUUGAGUUUAUUACUUUUCACCUGACUUAAAUGUUUUUGUUGUAUUAAAACCAUGUAUGUUGCAGCUUAAAAAUUAAGUCUCUGUAUAUUUCUUUGAGUAUUUGGAACACUUAGUCAAGCAACAGUCCUGAUUUACUGUGAUAAAACAGCUCUGUGGCAAGUUUAGUUUAUUGAAUACCAACUAAACUGAGGUCUGCAUAAUGAAGUGCUAGCUAAUUAAAAUCAAAAGUAAGAUAAAUUAGGACUUUACAAUCUCUUCUGAGUUGAUGCAUUUGAAUACCAAUUUUAUUAAUACAAUUAUUGAUAGUUUGUACAAUUAAGAACUGCAUCUUCAUUCUCUUAAAAUCUAAGAUAAUCAGUAAAUUCUGAAAUGCUAGUCUUACAGUCAAGAGGACUUUUGUAAGCAGUCCUGAUUUCUUAGAGAACCUUGGCUGUUGUACUUCAUAUCUAGGUUUUCUAUUACACACUGCCAUUAUCUUCAGCACCAAAAAAGUUUAAAAGAAAUGCUCUUCUCUUCCCUUCUCCCAAAGGAAGGGAAAAAGUUUUGAGAUGGCUUCUACCACAUCUAUGCCUUUGGAGUUUAGUUCCUUAUCUAGGAUAGUGGUUAUUUCAGAAAGUGGGCUUAGGUAACUUUUCUAUCAAAAAGGUCAUUUUAUUUUGUUUGAAACAAUGUUUUUAUUAAGCUGGCCUUCUAGUUUCCGUUUAAGGGUCUUCCAUCUCUAGGCUGUAUCUCUUCAUAGAAAAAAAUUAAAUGUUUCCUGUUACUGAA